rnacentral:lncRNA from 1 species
GAAACUGAUAGUCGCACCUUUAAAGACUCACGUCACAUCACAGCAACUAUUUAAGGACAAUGGAAGUUCAAAAAUUCCUCUUAAUCAUGCUGCAGUUGCUUUGCAUAAAGGGACGAGAUAAACAGUUUUCUCCUAUCUUGUGAACUAAGCGUGUUGUUUUGCCCGGACAGAGUGGAAGCGUGCCAGCCCAGUAUCCUUAACACACAUCCUGUUAUCUUCCAGGCUAACCGUGUCAACACAUAAAAGCUGGCUGCUCCGUCUUAUCACGGUGCGACUGAGUGGAGCGGAACCUCUCACUGGUGCCGUUGCCCCGCCAUCAGAGAAUUUGCCAUUUACAACAGCUCACAAUGAGCUGAUCAUGUGCUCUUACAAAUGAGCACCAAAGCCUGGUUGGGCUGGACGGCGGCCGUUUCACUGGAGGAAAUCCAAUUGAUCACUGUAAAAACGGUCCCACCCAGUUUAGAGCACACAUAAAACAGCAUGUUAACUGUGGGCUGCACACACACACAGGCUCUGCAGACGGGCGGCUGUCACGCUGACACACACUCGUUUUCCCUUUCCUUCACGAGGACUUGAACUCGUGUGAUCGCCAAAAAAGGUUGUGGAAAAUGGGAAAUGAGCAAUCUGUGAGCGAAGAGCCGACGCAGACAGAGAAAAUUCCCGAGACGCACGAAAACGGCUCCGUGAACGGCCUGUCCGCAGGCGUCCUGGCUCCUGCUUCCGAGAUCAGCGUCACCGUUGAGCCCACAGUUGAGAAAAAUGGCGGCCCGCUUUUGUUGAGCCUCGCCGUAGAACCAAACGGGAUCGGUCAGGUGACAGAUGGAGGAGACGGAGAACAUGAAGGAGAACACAGAGGAGAACAUGAGGAAGAACACGUCGACGCUGCAGUCGUUAACGAGGCCAUUGAGAAGGUGGUUGAAGAGGUGAAGAAGAGCAAAGAAGAAAAAGUCAGUCGCUUCGGCAAGCUUUUCAAAAUGAAGCCUCACGUGAAGAACGUUCCUAAAGAGGAGAGCCCAGGUGAGAGUCCGGCAGGUGCCAGCACUCCUGAAGAGGAACCGCAGCAGGACACCACCCACCUGAUACCAGAAGCCCAACCGCCACCGGAGCCGGACAGCGCCAGCGUAGAGCCCAGUCCAGAGGAGGAAGGAGCUCCCGAGACCGACGACGGCAACACCCAACCUGAGCAAAUCCAAGAGGAGGACGACCCCGAAAAGAACUCAGUCAUGAACUUCUUCAAAACUCUGGUGACUCCCACCAAAACCGCCAAGAAGAGUUCAGCUGCUCCUGACGCCGCCAAAGAUCAGUCCGAGAAUGAGAAUCAACCGGCAGAAACCGCUACUGUGGCACAGGUAUCGGAGCCCCCCGCAGCACCCAAAGGGAUGUCCGUCCCACCGCCGCCUCCUCCAGAACCCCCCAAAAUGGAAACCAAAGGAGAGACAUCUGCCAAGCCUGCAAAAACAACUCCAAAAGAAGAACCAGUAAAGGAGCCUGAGGCCUCAAAAGGGAAAUCAGCCAAAGAGGCUUUUGGCAAGUUCUUCCGUUCAAAGAAAGACAAGGAGCUCCCACAGCCAGAAGCUGUAGUUGAAGUACAACCAGUUGUAGAAGUGCAGGAGACACCAGUGGUGGAGGCAGAAGCAGUUGUAGAGAUCCAGCCGACGGUGGAAGAAGAACCACAGCCAGUGGCAGAAGAGGAGAAGGUGGAUCCUUCAAAAACGGGCACCUUGGAGGCCGCGCCCAAGCCUGAACCGCCACCGCCCGCCCAGGAGAAGAAACCUGCCUCCAAGUCAGGAUUCAUGUCCAUCUUCAAGUCCAAAGCUGCCGAUCCAAAGAAGGCCAGCCCAGCCCCCCCUGCCGCAGCUGAACCAGCCCCGGCUGUAAAAACCAAAGAGGAGCCGAAACCAGCAGCCAAGCCCUCAGAAACCCCUGCUGACAACAAAGCAGCUGUGACGGCUGCUCAGGCCGGGGAAGAUGCUCCCAGCGGCCCCAAGAAACUGGAGAAGAGGAACUCCAUCCAGCUCUUCUUCAAAAUUCGGAGUCAGAAGCGCAACUCCACAGAUGCUGGCAUCCAAACGGAACCACUCGCUGGUUCUGCAGCAGCUGAGAAGUCCAAAUGAAGCCAGAACCGCCAGUGAAGAUGGUGAAACGCUUGACUGAGGUCGUUGAAUCUGCUGCGGUCUGAAAAAGACGCAACUGUUGACAGAUAUAUAUUUUUUGGUGACAAAUGUCCUGAUAAAGUGUAGCUUGUGAAGACUUUUCUACAGACAUUUAAUGUGACUUUCUCUCUGUUUUUCCAACCUGACCAGUUGGGGUUAAGUCCUAGACAGGAGCGCGCUUUGUCUUUAGUUAAUCUGUCAGAAACACUUCAAACGUGCCGUUAAAAAUUAAAUUUGGCUUCAUAUAAUAUCAACAGGCUAAUGGGAAAUGAUCUUUAAAGUAGAAAUAAGGUCUUUGUGUAACAGAACACAUUUGCAUUUACUAUUUUUAACUUUGUAUGAGCUCUUAAGCUAACAGUCGUGUAAUUAUAUGACUCACUGUUCUGUGGGAAGCUGAUGGAAAUCGUUCACAAAUUCAACAGACAAACGUGUCCUUGUGAUUCCUGUCACCAAACUAACUAAAGUCUGAGUGCUUUUGUUUGCCUCCAUAUAACUUAUAUGUUGGUCCGGGCGUACGUGUGCAUAUGUAACUUCAGCCAUCAUGAAGACAAUAAAUAUGUUUACUGUUGUUUCUUCUUUGUUGGUGUGAUUCCACCCUUGAUUUAGUUUGUCUGAAUAGGAUAGAAGUGA